rnacentral:rRNA from 1 species
CAGUAGCCGCGGGAAUACGGAGGGUGCAAGCGUUAAUCGGAAUUACUGGGCGUAAAGCGCACGCAGGCGGUUUGUUAAGUCAGAUGUGAAAUCCCCGGGCUCAACCUGGGAGCUGCAUCUGAUACUGGCAAGCUUGAGUCUCGUAGAGGGGGGUAGAAUUCCAGGUGUAGCGGUGAAAUGCGUAGAGAUCUGGAGGAAUACCGGUGGCGAAGGCGGCCCCCUGGACGAAGACUGACGCUCAGGUGCGAAAGCGUGGGGAGCAAACAGGAUUAGAUACCCGGGUAGUCCCUGUCUCUUAUAC